rnacentral:misc_RNA from 1 species
AAAUUACAAACAGCAGCUGUGUCUCUGCCAUGGUAACCGCUAAGUUUCGAUGAAUUUCAAUGGUAACAGCUAAGGAUACUGUUCAAGUUGCUACAGCAUAUGUAGGGAAGACCUUUCGAAUGAACUCCAAGAACCUCUCCGAGUAGUACGUUGGGUCAACUGCAGAAAUGGAAACAGAAUCAAACUGAAUCGAUUUGUAUGCAUGUUCUAACUUCUUGCUCAUGUUGUAUUCUUGCAAUAUAUCAAUGAUCCCCAGGUAUAACACAACGUCAUAUACUUCGUGGAACACCUGUGUUUCACCUUCUUUUGGUAUGUACUCCGCCCUUGCUGGCAUAUUCACCCCAAGCUGAAUCUGGAAUCUUGCUGUCCCGGGGAGGAGGAGGUCCACUUCCGCGUCACCGGUAGCAGAUGACGCUCGUAAUCGGCUGCCUCUGACAUGCGGACCCACAACGACACUAUCAUCACUUCCACGUGGGACCAAAACAAGGCCCUGGGGCGAUAUUUCAUCCUCCAGAGACUCUUCUUCUGCAACAAUUUCUAGUCCAUCUGCCGUGGUGCGUCCACUACACGAAAUGAGAGAUUGUAGGUGUUGAGGUGCUCUAUAAUGAACACCUAACAAGAGGCUGUAAUCCAUAAUGUUCUCUUCCUCCAAGAAUUUACUGUCAAUUUCGAUCUGCCUUAAUAAAGCUUCGCGCCAAGAAGGCUCUAGAUAAAAGCAGUAGUUCAAAUCUAGAUCCUUAAGUAUAGUGUUCUCGUCAAUUUCAACCUUAUCAGCAGAUCGUCCUAGUGAAGAACCUUUAAGAUCAAAUCUUCGGUGGAUUCUCAACUCCGUACAAA